rnacentral:rRNA from 1 species
AUAUGGUUAAGUGAAUAAGGGCGCACGGUGAAUGCCUUGGCACUAGGAGCCGAAGAAGGACGGAACGAACACCGAUAUGCUUUGGGGAGCUGUAAGUAAGCUAAGAUCCAGAGAUUUCCGAAUGGGGGAACCCAACACCUUUCAUAGGGUGUUACCAAUGAGUGAAUACAUAGCUCAUUAGGAGGUACACGCAGGGAACUGAAACAUCUCAUUACCUGCAGGAAGAGAAAGAAAAAUCGAUUCCCUGAGUAGCGGCGAGCGAAACGGGAAGAGCCCAAACCAACGAGCUUGCUUGUUGGGGUUGUAGGACUAGAACGUGAGAAGACAUCAAGAUAGCAGAAGUGGUCUGGAAAGGCCCAUCACAGAAGGUGACAAUCCUGUACGCGACAUCUUGACGAACUCUACUAGCAUCCUGAGUACGGCGGGACACGAGGAAUCCCGUCGGAAUCCGCCAGGACCAUCUGGCAAGGCUAAAUACUACCUAGUGACCGAUAGUGAACCAGUACCGUGAGGGAAAGGUGAAAAGAACCCCGGGAGGGGAGUGAAAGAGUACCUGAAACCGUGUGCUUACAAGUAGUCAGAGCCCGUUAAUGGGUGAUGGCGUGCCUUUUGUAGAAUGAACCGGCGAGUUACGUUAACAUGCGAGGUUAAGUGGAAGA